rnacentral:rRNA from 1 species
AUGAACGCUGGCGGCGUGCCUAAUCCCUGCAAGUCGCGCGAACAGACGAGGAGCUUGCUCCUCUGACGUUAGCGGCGGACGGGUGAGUAACACGUGGAUAACCUACCUAUAAGACUGGGAUAACUUCGGGAAACCGAAGCUAAUACCGGAUAAUAUAUUGAACCGCAUGGUUCAAUAGUGAAAGACGGUUUUGCUGUCACUUAUAGAUGGAUCCGCGCCGCAUUAGCUAGUUGGUAAGGUAACGGCUUACCAAGGCAACGAUGCGUAGCCGACCUGAGAGGGUGAUCGGCCACACUGGAACUGAGACACGGUCCAGACUCCUACGGGAGGCAGCAGUAGGGAAUCUUCCGCAAUGGGCGAAAGCCUGACGGAGCAACGCCGCGUGAGUGAUGAAGGUCUUCGGAUCGUAAAACUCUGUUAUUAGGGAAGAACAAAUGUGUAAGUAACUAUGCACGUCUUGACGGUACCUAAUCAGAAAGCCACGGCUAACUACGUG